AAUAAAUAUACACCCCCUCCCUAUAAUAAAUAUAUACACCCCCUCCCUAUAUAAAUAUAUACAUACACCCCCCACACACUAUAAAGAUGAGGGCACCCAAUGGAUUUCCAAUGAAGUUAGUGUGUUCAAAUGUUGCCAAUAAGGAUCAAUGUUUCGACCUGGCGGUCUUCAUCAAGAUGGCAAUACAUAACAUUUUGUUUAAUAUCUGUAAAUUAAGAGUAAGUGACUAACCUAGAGCAAAGGUUACUCCGGUACUCCGAGUAAACGAUCGGAGUACCGUGAAACCCGCAAGUGCCGCAUGCGU